GGCUGCCAUCUCCUACUCCAGGAGACCUUCCUGACCCAAGGAAUGAACCUGCAGAUCCUGCAUUGCCAGGUGGAUUCUUUACCAUUGAGCCACCUAGGAAGACCCAGGUGUAAUUUCUAGAGUCUACUUAAUGGAGUGAACAUGAUCCCCUGGAGUCUGAGAAAAUUAUGAGGACUCUCCUAGCAAUGCUUAUGAACCAACCGAGACUACGCUUAACUUUUAGUGAUGAGCAUUUAAAUAAGUUUGGAAAAAAAUUUAGAAAAAGUGGUACAGCAGGCAAUGUGUGAAGCUAAGGA
rnacentral:lncRNA from 1 species